ACCCCCACACCCUUCUCGGCAAAGAUCAGUGACACCCCCACCCCCUCGCUUGAACAGAAACGACCACCACCACCACAGUCUGGUGGUGGUGCGGCGGCGGAGAUAGAAACAGGAGAGAGAGAGAGAGAGCUGAAGAGAUGAGAGAGAGGCGAGACAGAGAGAGAGAGAACGGCGAUGAGAGAAGAGGGCGACGGCUGCGGCACCGCCGCAGACGGCGGCGACAGUGGGCAGCGGUGAUGGUGGUUCAGCAGAGCUGGGUACUCGACUCAACUCCAGCGGGUGUGGUUCGGCUCGGUUCUGGUUCAGGUCACAUCUCGGCUCAGGUUAUAUGGUUUCGGCUCACCAGUGGGUGUUUCGGGACUUAGUUGGUUUCUUGCGGGUCAGAUUUCGGGAGUUUCGGGUUUCACGGUAACUCGGUUCGGGUCCAGGUCAAACAGUCAACAGUUUGGUUCGAGUUGUUUUGGAGCGGCUCGGUUUCGGGUCAGACUGGUUCGGGUCAACACGAGUCUUGGUUCAGUCCGGGUGGCUCGAGUUUCGCGGCACAGUCGGUUCAAGUCAACUCAGAAAGCUGACUCGGUCAACUCAGCGAGUUGACUCAGUCAACCCCGCCGGUCAACACAGUUGACCCGGUCAACUCGGUCAACCCUGAGUCCACACGAGUCAACUCAGUUCGGUUCUGGUCAACCACGGUCAACUCAAAGACCCGGAAUACUAUAGUUGUACGCUAGCUAAUUCAAGUUCUUGGAACAACCUCACGGAAUCACACUAAGCUAGCUUUGCACAGGAAAAUUCAGGUUGCAUUUUCAAAACUAUGGAACGGUUGGAAUAGGAGAACCCAUGGGAAUUCGAGUAC